GUCUACGGCCAUACCACCCUGAACGCGCCCGAUCUCGUCUGGUCUAGGAAGCUAAGCAGGGUCGGGCCUGGUUAGUACUUGGAUGGGAGAUAUACAUGCUUUUGUGCCA
rnacentral:rRNA from 1 species